CGGCGCGGCCUCGUCCGUGAAGGAGGAUGUGGGGUCUCUGUCUGGUCGGGGAUAAUCUCAUUUUCCUGGAAGACUCGGGGAGACCGUGCGAGUCCUGGGAGGAACGGAAAGAGGAUCCGCAGGACGCGCGCAGGGUCACGGACAGCGGCGAGUUUAAACUGUUCAGAAACUCCACUCACAAGGUAUUCUCUGCUGCAUUGUGCUGCUGUGCAGGGAAUGGUGAAAUUGCCUUGGAUGAUGGAGUCGCAGGAUGAAGAUGAAGAGCACAAUGCCGGCUGGAGAGGAUGAACGCUGCCAAGACAUCAACAGUUGAACUGGUCUGCAAGAGGGUCGAUGGAGCCCGAAGACUUGCCCAUGUAGAAGAAAGCUUGGCCCUCGUCCGAGCCUAUGCUCCUCUCAGGCAUCUGUGAGCGGCUCGUCGAUCAGAGUGACGCGCGUCGCCACUAAUGCAUUGGCCGAGCAAACAAUGAGGGGCGGCAGACGGCGGCGGACGCGGAGGAAGC